GUGUCAGCCGCCGCGGUAAUACGUAGGACGCAAGCGUUAUCCGGAUUUACUGGGCGUAAAGAGCGCGUAGGCGGUUUCGUAAGUUGGGCGUGAAAGCCCCCGGCUUAACUGGGGAGGGUCGUUCAAUACUGCGGAACUUGAGGGUGGAUGAGGAGACUGGAAUUCCCGGUGUAGUGGUGAAAUGCGUAGAUAUCGGGAGGAACACCUGUGGCGAAGGCGAGUCUCUAGGCCACUUCUGACGCUGAGGCGCGAAAGCGUGGGUAGCGAACGGAAUUAGAUACUCCGGUAGUCCACGCCCUAAACGAUGGACACUAGGUGUGGUGGGUAUCGACCCCUGCCGUGCCGUAGUCAACACAAUAAGUGUCCCGCCUGGGGACUACGAGCGCAAGCUUAAA
rnacentral:rRNA from 1 species